GGAAUAUUGCACAAUGGGGGGAACCCUGAUGCAGCGACGCCGCGUGGGUGAAGGAGCACCUCGGUGCGUAAAGCCCUAUCGGCAGGGAAGAAACAGACGGUACCUGACUAAGAAGCCCCGGCUAAAUACGUUCCAGCAGCCGCGGUAAUACGUAUGGGGCAAGCGUUAUCCGGAUUUACUGGGUGUAAAGGGAGCGUAGGCGGCCUGGCAAGCCUGAUGUGAAAUACCGGGGCCCAACCCCGGGGCUGCAUUGGGAACUGCCAGGCUGGAGUGCCGGAGAGGCAGGCGGAAUUCCUAGUGUAGCGGUGAAAUGCGUAGAUAUUAGGAGGAACACCAGUGGCGAAGGCGGCCUGCUGGACGGUGACUGACGCUGAGGCUCGAAAGCGUGGGGAGCAAACAG
rnacentral:rRNA from 1 species